CCUAUGGGAGGCUGCAGUGGGGAAUAUUGGACAAUGGGCGAAAGCCUGAUCCAGCCAUGCCGCGUGUGUGAAGAAGGCCUUCGGGUUGUAAAGCACUUUCAGUGGGGAAGAAAGCCUUGGGGCUAAUACCCUCGAGGAAGGACAUCACCCACAGAAGAAGCACCGGCUAACUCCGUGCCAGCAGCCGCGGUAAUACGGAGGGUGCGAGCGUUAAUCGGAAUUACUGGGCGUAAAGCGCGCGUAGGCGGUCUGAUAAGCCGGUUGUGAAAGCCCCGGGCUCAACCUGGGAACGGCAUCCGGAACUGUCAGGCUAGAGUGCAGGAGAGGAAGGUAGAAUUCCCGGUGUAGCGGUGAAAUGCGUAGAGAUCGGGAGGAAUACCAGUGGCGAAGGCGGCCUUCUGGACUGACACUGACGCUGAGGUGCGAAAGCGUGGGUAGCAAACAGGAUUAGAUACCCCAGUAGUC
rnacentral:rRNA from 1 species